AGAGUUUGAUCCUGGCUCAGGAUGAACGCUGGCGGCGUGCUUAACACAUGCAAGUCGAACGAAGCAUUUAAGACAGAUUACUUCGGUUUGAAGUCUUUUAUGACUGAGUGGCGGACGGGUGAGUAACGCGUGGGUAACCUGCCUCAUACAGGGGGAUAGCAGCUGGAAACGGCUGGUAAUACCGCAUAAGCGCACAGUACCACAUGGUACAGUGUGAAAAACUCCGGUGGUAUGAGAUGGACCCGCGUCUGAUUAGCUGGUUGGCGGGGUAACGGCCCACCAAGGCGACGAUCAGUAGCCGACCUGAGAGGGUGACCGGCCACAUUGGGACUGAGACACGGCCCAGACUCCUACGGGAGGCAGCAGUGGGGAAUAUUGCACAAUGGAGGAAACUCUGAUGCAGCGACGCCGCGUGAGUGAAGAAGUAUUUCGGUAUGUAAAGCUCUAUCAGCAGGGAAGAUAAUGACGGUACCUGACUAAGAAGCUCCGGCUAAAUACGUGCCAGCAGCCGCGGUAAUACGUAUGGAGCAAGCGUUAUCCGGAUUUACUGGGUGUAAAGGGAGUGUAGGUGGCCAGGCAAGUCAGAAGUGAAAGCCCGGGGCUCAACCCCGGGACUGCUUUUGAAACUGCAGGGCUAGAGUGCAGGAGGGGCAAGUGGAAUUCCUAGUGUAGCGGUGAAAUGCGUAGAUAUUAGGAGGAACACCAGUGGCGAAGGCGGCUUGCUGGACUGUAACUGACACUGAGGCUCGAAAGCGUGGGGAGCAAACAGGAUUAGAUACCCUGGUAGUCCACGCCGUAAACGAUGA
rnacentral:rRNA from 1 species